rnacentral:rRNA from 1 species
UACAGAGGUCUCAAGCGUUGUUCGGAUUCAUUGGGCGUAGAGGGUGCGUAGGCGGCACGGUAAGUCGGGUGUGAAAUCUCGGAGCUUAACUCCGAAACUGCAUUCGAUACUGCCGUGCUUGAGGACUGGAGAGGAGACUGGAAUUUACGGUGUAGCGGUGGAAUGCGUAGAGAUCCGGAAGAACACCGGUGGCGAAGGCGGCCUGCUGGGCAGUAGCUGACGCUGAGGCGCGACAGCGUGGGGAGCAAACAGG